GCGUCGGUGGUGCAACGGUAAGCAUAGGCUCUCGGAAAGAGUAUGAUCUGGGUUCGAAUCCCGGAUGGCGCA